GCCGUGUCCCUUUCCAGGGAGAAACGAGCAAGGCCAGCCCUGAGGGCUCCCUUGGUCCCAGGCCGAAGCUCUCCUGCAGUGUCGGGGCUGGUCCCGCCUGCCGAGGGCGUUUCCUGCAGUGAGAAGAACAUGAACUCACCACCAUUAAGGCCUGGCAGUUCCCUGCAGUGAGAGCUCAGUGCACAUCCACAGAGGCAAUUCCAGCAUCUGAAAGGAAGAAAAGAAGAAAAAGGACUUUUCCAAUCCAACCCUGAAGCUGAGAAGCCCAAAAGCUCUGGAGUCUGCUCUGGAACAAAAGGAUCCUCCCAGGGCUGAGGCCCAUUCCCAGCAAACCCUCCCAACAGGCCCAGAGGCGCCGCUGGAGCUCCUGCUGGGCUGGGAAGGGCUGCCAGGAGGACACAGCCCCAGGGGUGGCAGUGGCAGUGGCAGCAGCAAAUGGCCACGCUGGGAUGGCACAGCAGAGCCCAAGGCCAGCAAUGGCCACGGCAGCUGCAGGGUUAAUUCUGCUCCCUGCGCUGCCCCAGCCCGGCAGGAAAUGCCCGGGGGGACAGAAACUCUCGGGGUGCACAAAGUGCAGCAUCUGUGCCCCCGAUCCUGCCUGAGCCCAGCGUGGGGGGCCAACCCCCCCAGGGCCAGCCCUGCCCUGCCCUGGCUCAGCCCCAGACACUGCCCCAGCUCCCGGCUGCUCCCGGGGCUGCCACCACUCCUGGCAAGGGGACAAAGGUGACAGAGCCCCUCUGGACAGGGCUCUCUCUGGGUCUCAGGCGUCGGGGACUGCAGGGACAGCCUGAAACCAGGGCAGAUCCCUCUGAGUUUGUGACACUCUGGGGACAGCUGGGGACUCACCCCACACCACGGCAGGGCCAGGGACCCUCCAGUGCAGCUGGAGCCCGUUGGGUUUGGCUGCUCAAACUCCAAAGCUCUGGGCAAAGAUGGGAUGAAUUAAGUGGCUUUUCCUGUCCUGAAAGAGAGGAGAAAAUGGAAAUUAGGUCCACUCUGGAAAUCAAAGGCUCCUGGCUUUCCUAAUUCUGUUCUGAUUGCUCACUCCAUAAAACAUGAAAGGUGACACCAAAUAAAAGUGCCCCUUGUCAACAUUUUAUUCCCUACUAUUUUAAUACAUUAAAAAGAUGACCAUUUUAAAUUAUUGCAUUCUUUAC